UACAGAGGGGGCAAGCGUUGUUCGGAAUUACUGGGCGUAAAGGGCGCGUAGGCGGCCUUCUAAGUCAGGGGUGAAAUCCUGGAGCUCAACUCCAGAACUGCCUUUGAUACUGGGAAGCUAGAGUCCGGAAGAGGUGAGUGGAACUCCGAGUGUAGAGGUGAAAUUCGUAGAUAUUCGGAAGAACACCAGUGGCGAAGGCGGCUCACUGGUCCGGUACUGACGCUGAGGUGCGAAAGCGUGGGGAGCAAACAGG
rnacentral:rRNA from 1 species